UGUGUGCAUUCUCUGGUCCAAAUUUUGUGUGCAUCUUGUUCUGUUUAUUUACGUCAACCUCACAAAAUUGUAGGCUUAUAUUUAUAUUACUUUUAGAAAGUAUUUCAAGCGUAUCUUCAUUCAUCUGUUGUUUUGUAAAUGUUUAACGAAGAACUUAAGCAGAAAACCAAGUUUAAAUCAUCAUCAAGACCGCCGAAAUGGAAUUCUAUACGACUCGAGCUUUCAAAGGCCUGAAUGGAACAAUUUUUUAUUUUGAUUCACGGUUCAAAGCUAACACAUGGGUGGAAGGUGACCUAGUCCCAGAGGUCGCUAUGGUGGUUGUAGCCGUGGAAGAGAUUUUCCAACAAGUUUUUUUGGUUUGUAAUCUUCGUCUUGAUUGGUGUUCCUAGAGGGGAUUCAGCCCUAAGAGCACCACCAGUAAGUAGGGAAGUGGUUGACCAAGAUGGGAGCAGAUGCCAAAUGUGCUAUUUGCACGAACCAAAAUUUCUGAUUCACCUUAAAUUGCUACCUUGCAUCCAGAAAUUGAUCUGUAGAUUUCCUUUUUUUAGAGCUUGAUUCCCCAGGUUCGGAGCAAACAUUUAAUUCAGAUAAGUCUAAAAAGUCUAGACUAUGUUUUGUGAUAUACAAGAAGCAUAUUACAAUUGCAGUUUAGAGAUUGAUCCCGAAACUUAAACAACGUAAAUGUGCAGAUUUUGCAAAGCCAAAGGGUUUCCAUAUGGUCUAUACACUCCACAAAUGGCCAUGUAAUACCCUUUUCGCCCACUUAUUUGAUGACCAUGAACACAAUGCUAGUCAUAUCUCAUGAAGAUUGUAGAGGUUCAUGAAUGCAAGUGGGUUUGUUGUUGUAAGUGCUACUAGGAAUGAUGCGGGUUCCAUUGCAAUUGCUACAUCAUUUGUAGAUACCUUUUGUUUAGAAGUUCUGUAGCUUUAAUACUCUAAUUGAGAACUUAUGUAUGAAUUUUGAUAUGUUAUUAUUAAUAUCAUUUGUGUUUUAAGUUUUUUCAUG